rnacentral:SRP_RNA from 1 species
GCAACAAGCGUGCGCAGCACACUGGGUUGCCAACAAUGCCUUCGCUGGCCCCAAAAGAGCCCCCACCCCCAAGGCACCACAGCCCCCAGGGGAAUAGUGGAGAUCUAGAGGGCCAGUUGGCUGA